rnacentral:rRNA from 1 species
AUUGAACGCUGGCGGAAUGCUUUACACACGCAAGUCGAACGGCAGCACGGGUGCUUGCACCUGGUGGCGAGUGGCGAACGGGUGAGUAAUACAUCGGAACGUACCCAGUUAUGGGGGAUAACUAACCGAAAGGUUAGCUAAUACCGCAUACGCCCUGAGGGGGAAAGCGGGGGACCGCAAGGCCUCGCGUAAUUGGAGCGGCCGAUGUCUGAUUAGCUAGUUGGUGAGGUAAAGGCUCACCAAUGCGACGAUCAGUAGCAGGUCUGAGAGGAUGAUCUGCCACACUGGAACUGAGACACGGUCCAGACUCCCACGGGAGGCAGCAGUGGGGAAUUUUGGACAAUGGGCGAAAGCCCGAUCCAGCCAUUCCGCGUGAGUGAAGAAGGCCUUCGGGUUGUAAAGCUCUUUCGGCAGGGAAGAAACGCUCUGGGAUAAUACUCCGGGGUAAUGACGGUACCUGAAGAAGAAGCACCGGCUAACUACGUGCCAGCAGCCGCAGUAA